UCAGUAACGGCGAGUGAAGCGGGAAGAGCUCAUGUUUGAAAUCCAGCUCCCUCGGGGGGCUGGAAUUGUAACCUAGAGGAGCGAGAUCGCCUGCCGGCAGGGCCGCGGCUAAGUCCGAUUUGAAAAGGGUACCAAGGAGGGUGGCAGUCCCGUUCAUGCCGCAGUCCGGCCGGCGUAUGGCCCGCUUCCAACGAGUCGAGUUGCUUGGGAUUGCAGCUCAAAGUGGGUGGUAAACUCCAUCCAAAGCUAAACACGUAUGGGAGACCGAUAGCGAACAAGUACCGUGAGGGAAAGAUGCAAAGAACUUUGAAAAGAGAGUCAAAGAGUGCCUGAAAUUGCUGAGAGGGAAGCGAAGGAAAUUAGUGUCAGUCGAGGGGAUCUCGUAUCGGGG
rnacentral:rRNA from 1 species